rnacentral:rRNA from 1 species
GAAUAAAGUAAAGACGUAAUUGCAAGUAAUUCUAGGUGAGUCAUACGAAUUCUUAGGAACCGCAACUAUUGGCCGUCCCUUUAGUUAUUCUAGGAAGGGCUAUCGCCUUGGUUCGGAGGCCGUCUAAUUAUCCAACUAAUACAACGCCGUGGUCUGCUGGUCGGACCUCUUGUACGUAAAAACCGACAGGCCCUAAAGAUAAUGACGGCGUUACUUGGACCCUAGAUGCAACGAGCUUUCAUUAGCACGUCGUUUAGUCGGUACCUUUUAACCCGGUUCUUUUAACCCUAAUUUUCUAAGGUUGACCUCGGAUCAGGUAGGAAUACCCGCUGAACUUAA